UUGCAGAUCAAAGCCUCCUUGUUUGGGUUGUAAUGAAGUGUCGAACUGUUUCCUUGCAACACAAACAGGAGACACUUUGAUCUGCAA
ensembl:miRNA gga-mir-3531 gga-mir-3531